GAUCGGGCCCUGCGCGGCUUGUGAUCGUGAACCGAGUCAGGGCCGGAAGGCAGCAGCUCUCAGCGGAACCAUAAGGGUGCCGCAGUAAGUCUGAUCUCU
rnacentral:SRP_RNA from 1 species